CUAGAAGUCUAGGAAAUCCCCAUCUUGAGAAAAUGUGUGUCCAUAAUGCUUCAGCCGUUUUUUGUGAAUCAUCUUUAGUCAGAGGAAUUACUUCUAACCAUUUAGAGAAUACAUCCACAACUACUAAUGCAUAUUUUAAUCCAUUCUUACCUGUUGGUAAUGGCCCAAUAAAAUCAAUUUGUAAAGUAGUCCAAGGACCAUUUGCAGGUGCUAUAUGUUGUAUAGGUGUUUUUUGUCCUUUAG